rnacentral:rRNA from 1 species
CCCUUAGAUGUUCUGGGCCGCACGCGUGCUACACUGAGUAAUUCAAUGGGUAAGGGAACGCUAGAGCAUUACCUAAUCUUGAAAUUUGCUCGUGAUGGGGAUCGACGGUUGCAAUUUUCCGUCGUGAACGAGGAAUACCUUGUAGGCGCAUGUCAUCAUCAUGCGCCGAAUACGUCCCUGCCCUUUGUACACACCGCCCGACGCUCCUACCGAUUGAGUGAUCCGGUGAGGCUCUGGGACCUGGACGGAAAGAGCGUUUCGCUUGUUCUGUUUGGGAAACUUGGUCGAACCUUAUCAUUUAGAGGAAGGAGAAGUCGUAACA